rnacentral:tRNA from 1 species
AGAGAAGUGGCAGAAAUUGUGAGUAGUUUGAAACUAUUUUAUGAGAGUUUAAUCUCUUUUUCUCUU